CAGGUAGACAAAACAUUGAUAUUGGUUGGAGCAAUCCCUGGCCUAGUGAGAGCUUACUAUUAGGAGACAAAUAAAGCAUAAGAUAAACAAAAGAUUAGAGCAACUGCUGAAAACAUUAUUACAACUAAAAAGUUUGUUGGAGUAUAAUAUCUAAGCAUUGGGCAGUAGAUAGCGAUAUUUCAUCCUAUACCUAGACAAGGAAAGGUGUGUUGGUGGCAGCUUAAAAUAUGUCAGACU